GCCCAAUCUCGGGAUUGGCAAAGUCAAACGUUUACUAGGAAAUUCAGCCAAGCGACGGAGAUUAACGCGCUUGAUCAUCUUCCCAAAGGGCGAGUUAUUUUCAGAAAACCAGACUUGAAUACGCACCGAAUUUCACACUCCGCCCCACAGUUUCUUUAAAGUAAAUAAGUGUCUAAAAUGAUGACAGUAAAACCUGUGGUUUCACAUCGUGAGUGUCUGCAAAGUCUCAUAUUCUCUUGGUGAAAUUUCCUGGCAGAAGCAAAGCUUUCCCGAGGAGGGGAGGAGGACAGGCCGUCUGGCUCCUGACUGCACGUGUGUCUGGGAAUAUUAGGAUCAUUUUCAACUGCCCAUCUUUAGCCCAGAGCUACUUUUUAUUCUUUCUUAAGAGAAAAAAACAUUCCAAGAAGCGAAAAAGUAUAGUCAAAUCUUAUCCUCUGUGCAAGGGGGCAAAAUCAACGCGUCUUCCCCACUUUCCUCCGGGAACGAACCACAGGAGAUAUGUCUCAUCUUCAAGCAGUGCUGUGCUGGCAAACCAGCUCUUGAGAGGAAGACCAAAAUCCUGAUCUGUAGCAUUUGCCAAUUUCCGUGGUAUAAAUAUUCCUACCAUGGCUCAUUUGAAGGCAUCCAGAGAUUACCACCAGCUCCCCAAAUUCCUGAAUGUUUAACAAUUAGUUCUCAGAAAAUGGGAUAAGCCAGCUUCCGCUUACCAGUCUCUUGAAGAAAAGUAUCAUUAUUGGCCACAACAUGCAUUAUUCGUGCAGUGUAUGUAGAUAGCUCUACCAGGCAUUGAUAAAGUCGCAAUGGAAAAGAUAAACAAUAGAAAUGAUCUCUUCCAUUAAGAAACUUACAAUUGAACAAAAGGAAAAAAACCCACAACAACGAAGCACUGCAAAGACACAGCUGGACAGAGCCCUCUUUUUCUGCUACAUCAGUUUGAAAUAGUCUCUCCCUUCUGGACACAACUUUUCAGACAGUCAGGGUCUCCAGGAGAGGCCAGGCAGUGCAACCAAGAUGGUGCCAGGCAUUGAGACCACAUGGUUUGGGGAUGGGGGGGAGAACCAAGCGUGUCCGGCAUGGGAUCGAGGAGAUAUGGAGGAACAAGAAGCACUUUACAAAUCCAAGGGCUCCCAAGGGGGGUGUCACUCGAAAGUUUGUACAAGUGAUUUUCUCCUGUUGCAAAGCGGUGAACUAGAUCUACUGGGUGUGAGCCACAAGGAAGCAGAUCCCUGUCCACCCGAGGAAAUCUUUCCAAAAACGGGAGACGUGCAUAUGGUAAUGAAGUACAUAAACUCUCAGAAAAGCACCAGAAGUCAGAAGUAGACUUUUCUAAUAAGGAAGAGUGAGAUCAGAAAAACCAGGGCCUGAACUCUCCUUGCAAGUCCUUGGCAUCAAAGCCUCAUCAGUAAGCCCCAGCCCCACGUCAGCUCCCCAGGAGCAUGAGCAACAGUCAUGUGGUCC
rnacentral:lncRNA from 1 species